rnacentral:tRNA from 1 species
GCCUCAGUAGUGUAAUGGAUCAGCACGGCAGACCGCAUAUCUGUAUGUGCGGGUUCGAGUCUUUCCUGAGGUU